UUAAAAGUGCAACGGAAAUAGUGUAACCUGGUCAGAGUAGGAAUACAGCAGCCAUAUCAUUUCCUUUCCGUGUGCACUUUUUUUAU
rnacentral:SRP_RNA from 1 species